rnacentral:rRNA from 1 species
UACUCCUACGGGAGGCAGCAGUGGGGAAUAUUGGACAAUGGGCGAAAGCCUGAUCCAGCCAUGCCGCGUGUGUGAAGAAGGUCUUCGGAUUGUAAAGCACUUUAAGUUGGGAGGAAGGGCAGUAAGUUAAUACCUUGCUGUUUUGACGUUACCAACAGAAUAAGCACCGGCUAACUUCGUGCCAGCAGCCGCGGUAAUACGAAGGGUGCAAGCGUUAAUCGGAAUUACUGGGCGUAAAGCGCGCGUAGGUGGUUCAGCAAGUUGGAUGUGAAAUCCCCGGGCUCAACCUGGGAACUGCAUCCAAAACUACUGAGCUAGAGUACGGUAGAGGGUGGUGGAAUUUCCUGUGUAGCGGUGAAAUGCGUAGAUAUAGGAAGGAACACCAGUGGCGAAGGCGACCACCUGGACUGAUACUGACACUGAGGUGCGAAAGCGUGGGGAGCAAACAGGAUUAGAUACUCUGGUAGUCCACGCCGUAAACGAUGUCGACUAGCCGUUGGGAUCCUUGAGAUCUUAGUGGCGCAGCUAACGCGAUAAGUCGACCGCCUGGGGAGUACGGUCGCAAGGUUAAAACUCAAAUGAAUUGACGGA